UUUUAGAUAGUAUGUUUCGGACCGAACUACCUCUCUGAUCUCAUACGGGUCUUCCCGAUUUGGGGCAAGUUUUUCUUGAUUCUGAGGUUGUGAAACAGCGGCUCGUCGAAGUAUUAAGUCCCCCGCUCUGAAGACUUUGCUCUUGACCCGGGAGUUGUAGUAGCGGGCUACUUUCUGCUUGUAGGCUGCCAUCCGAGCUUGAG
rnacentral:lncRNA from 1 species